rnacentral:rRNA from 1 species
UACGUAGGGUGCAAGCGUUAAUCGGAAUUACUGGGCGUAAAGCGUGCGCAGGCGGCUUUGCAAGACAGAUGUGAAAUCCCCGGGCUUAACCUGGGAACUGCGUUUGAAACUGAAAGGCUAGAGUGUGGCAGAGGGGGGUGGAAUUCCACGUGUAGCAGUGAAAUGCGUAGAUAUGCGGAGGAACACCGAUGGCGAAGGCAAUCCCCUGGGCCUGCACUGACGCUCAUGCACGAAAGCGUGGGGAGCAAACAGG